AGGACUCAAGAGACAAACGGAUCUCUGUUAGUUCAAGGCCACACUGAGCUACAUGAAAUUGAUCCAGUCUUAAGGAGAAACAGCUCAACACAAAGGUGGUCUCAGCACUUGGGUUCAAAUGCCUUUAAUCCCAGGAUUUGAGAGGUAUAAAAAGAAGAUUUAGUCUCCAGCCACCUUGAGGAGAGGUAGCAAUGUAGGAUUGCAGUCUGAGAAUUCAUGAAGGCAGGAUUGCCAUUUCAGCCUGAGGUAGAGGUAAGAUCUACUGUCUUGGCUGCUUUGCUUUAUCUUCAGUUUGGAGCUUGAACCCCAAUAUCAGUGGCAGGGGUUGUAUUGUUCAUGUUCCAGCAGUGAUACUGCCCUCCUACAUCAAUCAUUAAUCAGGAUCAUAUGCCACAGUUUACAAUCUGAACAUGAUAGUGGGAAAUAUAAUAGUGAUAAGCAGGUCUGAAGUUCAGCUGAAAUUUGGGAGUAAAGUCAUAAACUCCAGGAACACUGAUAAUACAAAUAAGGGAGCUGACAAAAGGGAUCACCGGCUGAGUCCUGGAAACGGAGUCACCCCAGGAUUCAGUGGAGAAUGGUGAAGGAUAAGGGAUUCUUGUCAGAGCAGGGUCAAAAGAAUGACACAAGGUGAACAAUGACUUGAACUGUGAGAGGCUCCAGGAAAAAAAGGCAGAGAGAGGGACUUUUACCUCAAAUACAUAUUGUUCCCUGGAUUGUUUUUGGACAUGAUUUUGUGCCUCCUGUUGCAAAUAUUUGCAUCAAUUUAUAAAAUCUGUUUAUUCUUAUUGGAUGUCGAAACAUAGCUAUAGAACCCAAUCUGGUGAAAGGAAACGCUGAGUGCUGUCCUCACUGUACCCCUAAUCUGGACAUGGCCUUUUGCCUUGCUUUUGUGUUUUACCAGAUAUAAUGUAUAGUACAUGCCAGGUAAUUUUUUUUUUAAUUGACUUGUCCUGAGAAAGUUCUGUUAAUAUUUAGUAUGUGCUUACUGGUGUUUAUUUAUGUUUUUCUGAACUCAAACAAUCUUCCUUGGAUCAUUGCUUUCCUUGUUACAUUCAUAUAUAAAAGUACACUGAAACUCCAGUAAGGUUGUCUAUAGCAUUAGACUGUAGUCCACCCCAUUUUUUCAGGUCCUCCAAUCCCAGACUCUCAGACAGAUCUGCAUAGGUUGGCAAAAGCUGACAAGUGGUGCCCGAAUCUGGGACCUGAAUGAAAAGCUAAGAGAGGACAUGAGGACCCCUGCAGAAGGAGGUAGUCAGUUGUCUUGUGGUUGAUGGAGAGGCAGAAAUACUUACUGUUAAGCAACUGCCAUAUGAGAAUGCUAAUGCUUCAUGCCAGACAGCAUUCAUCCCUUUUGGAAGAAAGGAGAUACCGAUGAUUACAACUACCUAUGUGCUGAAUUGGGCUUUUGCAUACUCAAGGCUAACUCUGGAUACACCCCUCCAAGGACAGACAAUGCCUCAAUUAUUGGCAGUCAUUCAACAAGGAAAAGGAAUGAAUAAUGACAAAUAGCCCAACUUUAUGUCAAAAGUUUGUUGCUGCUGCUGCUUUAAAAGAAGCUAAAGUACAAUUUACUCUGUCACUAUAUGUCAUAUGGAUGAUAUUCUGCUUUCUAUAAAAAGCAGAUUUGUUUACAAAAAUAAAAAUGAAUUAACUCUUUAAA